GACAGAGGGUGCAAACGUUGUUCGGAAUUACUGGGCGUAAAGCGCGUGUAGGCGGCUAAGUAAGUCGGGCGUGAAAUCCCACGGCUCAACCGUGGAAGUGCACUCGAAACUGCAUAGCUAGAGUCCUGGAGAGGAAGGUGGAAUGCUUGGUGUAGAGGUGAAAUUCGUAGAUAUUCGCAAGAACACCAGUGGCGAAGGCGGCUCACUGGCCCGGAACUGACGCUGAGAUGCGAAAGCGUGGGGAGCAAACAGG
rnacentral:rRNA from 1 species